AAUAUGUACUGUUUUUAUCGAAAGAUGAGAUAUUGAACAAUUGUUUUAUCUGUAUUAAUAUAAUAUUUAUAUAAAAAAAAACUAUUUAGAAAAAAAUUAGAUUAACUCUAAUAUUAAUUUUGUACGAUAUAUACGUUAUUUUAUUUUUACUAUUUCUUUUAUCUCAUGAAGGUUUCUACUCAUUAACGUUUCUACUGGAUACGUAACAAUAACAAUAACAAUGUGUUUACAUAAACGAUAAAAUGUUUCUUUACGUUUGUCAUCGGCGUGUAACCGAAGUAUUAUCGAUCAGUAAUGUCGUUGCAUAAAUUCAAUUCCUUAUACGACGAUUACUUUUCUGAGAAUACGCAACAUGUGCCUUAUGUGGAAGAAGAAUUAUAUUCUUUUAAUAUAUAAUAUAGAAAAAAUAUAAAAAAUAUAAGCAACUUUUAAUAAUUAAAUAUAUCUCUGAAUCCGAGAAUAUAUUUGUUUAUUAUCAAGAUGUGUAAUGAUGGAUCAAGUGAUCAUGAUUGUCAGCAACUAAAAAAAGGAUUUUAUAGAAAUUUCUUCGAACCCGAUCAAACAAAUACUAAUGAGUUUCUUCUAAAUCGUAAUUUUAAUAGUACUGCGGGAAAAUUAAUCGAAGAAGCCAAUAAAGUUGUUGUUAAAAAUUUAGAGGAUUCUAUAAUCAUGAACAAAUCUUUUGUUAUGGGACCAAGUAAACAAAUUUUACUGAGCUACAAAUUUGGAAAUGCUAUAAAAUUUUUUGAAUUAUGGAACAAAUAUAUACCAGAUCGUAUGAAAACAUGUAAAGAGUACAAAAUCUUAACGCUUAAAUUACAUGUAUAUUUUGUCAUUUUACCUAAAUCUAUGUUAAUUUUAAUCCAACAAAAAAAUCAUAAUAAAGACAAAAACACACCUGCAGCAGCCUCUACUAAAGAGGAUUCUUCUUUCUUAGAAAUAGAGAAGCAUACAACCAAACUUGAAAAAGAUUUUAACAAAAAUAUGACAAGGCUACAACAAUAUUUGAAUACAGAUGGUAAAGAAUUAAAAUAUGAAACUCAAUUAAGAGCAUUCUUUGCAUUACCUUAUAUAGAAGAUCCAUUGUCUGAUCCAUUAUUUCGUGAAAUACUUAAUAAGUCUUGGACAGAAAAAUUAUCUAUACAUUUGCAAGAAUUUAUUGCAAAGUAUGUACAGGAUAGUGAAAAGAAUGAAGAAAUUAUGGAUAAUUACAUUGAAUCAAGUAAGAUGUCUGAGAUUGAUAUAACUACUUCAACAAUUCCUUGUAAAAUAUCUAAUACAGAUAAUUCAGAAAAAAUUGUUACCAAAAAUAAUGUACCAAUUAAGCCGAAUGACAGAGAUGUACCUGACUUUUUAGAAGAUAAAAGUGAAGAACAACUUAAUAUUUCUUAUGAAAGAAAAUAUAAUAUGGAAUCAAAAGGUACACAGACACAGAAUAAUUUAAUAAAAGAUUAUCCACAGUAUUAUUUAGUAGAAAACACAGAUCAUCAAAAUAUUUAUAGAUACAAUCCAAAAUUAAUACCAUAUAAUCAAGAAUUAGCAUUAACAAAAUCCCAUUUAUAUAAUCUUCAUUCUAAUCAUAAAAAAUUAAAAUCUCGAUUUCAUAAAUUACAUGGAGAUUAUCAUAAACUUCUAAGUAUAGCUGCAGAGUUAACAGCAGUUCUUGAAAAUUCAGUAAAAGGUCAACCUGUUGAUCUACAAGGAAUGUUAGAAUCUUGUAUGAAGAUAUUUCCAGAUUUAUUUAAUCAAAACAUAAGAGAUGAAUUUCAAGUAAAAGUACAACAGUCCAAUGAUACAAAUAAACGAGAUAUUAUGCAGCCUAAUUUUAAUAUCAUUAAUAUAUCACCAAAGUUAUUAGAUUUUAAAAAGAUUAAAUUACAUUUAAUAAAUGGAAAUGUAAAGACAAAAUUACUUCUCUUGCAAGCAUUACGAUGGAAAAUUACUUUAAGUCAACCUGGAGAACGUGAUGAAGCUAUACACGAAUAUAUAAGUAGAGAUUUAUUAGGAUUACAUGGUCAGAUUGCCAGUGAUAAUGGAAGAUCAAUUUUACCGUAUUUAUUAACACCAGAAAAUGUUCCAAUGCCACAUCCAUUGCAACAAUCUGCAGCUAGAUUGUUAAAUACUUUUGCUUCCUUACAAUGUGGUAGAGAUUAUUUAUCCAUGGAUUCAUCUAUAGUUAGGGUGAUAUUUAAUUGCCUCAAUGACAACUACCACGAUGGAAUAGAUUCUCUCACUUAUGACAUGACACUGUCUACUUUACAAAAAUUAUCAUUGCGCAAGCAGCAAAGACUAUAUAUGAUAGAUAGUGGACUGCUGGAAUGGUUGGUUUAUCAUCUACAUAAUGAAAGUAAUACAAUGAGUUUUUAUAGAUUAAAAUAUGCAACAGCUCUUUUGAUGAAUUUAUCAUUGCAUAAACAAGCUCAGAUUAGAAUAUCUACAACAGCAUCAUUACUUAUAUCAACUCUUAUAAUGCUUCUGGCAGUUGAUCAUCCUUCUGUAUCACCAUAUGUUAAUGGAGCAUUAAAUAAUUUUCUUGUAAAUGAUCAAAUAAAUAAUGAAGCAAAACAUGUAAAUCUUUCAUCUAUAUUAGAACAAUUAUGUAAGAAUAAAAUUGGAGAAAUGAGGAAAUAUCUGGAACACAUUUUGAAAGUACACAAACGUGAAUGUACUAUUGACAUUGAAGAUGAAGCAAUUUCAGAUAAUGAUAAUGAAGAAUUUGAUGUAUUGGAAAAUGAAUUAGAGGAGGAUGAUCCUGUUAAAAAUCAUAAAGCAGAGUUAUAUGGGGAAGUAUUGUUGUCAACAUGUUACAUGAUUACACCAGAUUUAUUUCAGAAAGAAUCUAUAGUUAUUGAUAAAGUCUUGGCAAAAUCCUCUGAUACAAAAUUACUGCCUGUACAAAGCAAUAAGAAACAUAAUCAGUCUUGUAGUAAUACUAGUUUGACAUUACUUGAACAUGUUCCAAGAUCCACAUGGAAAGAAAAAAGAGAAAAAAGCAAAGAUAAAUUAGUUAAUCAAAAUAAUAGUAUGUUGAAAUUAUCUAAAAGCAAAAUAAUCCCAAAUAAAAAACGUACAAAUAAUUUUGACAAUACUUCACAAACAAUACAAUUGUCUAGUGAAUCUAAUAUGAUUUGUUAUAAACAUACUGAAAAAAUUGUGUCAGAUAAUGUAUCAAACAAUCUUGGUGAAAAUAUGACAAAUUUAGCUUGUGUAUCUAAAAAACAUAAUACAGUGAAUGUACAAUAUGCAGAAGAAGAAAAACAAAAUGACAAAGGAUUGACUAAUCCAAAUUCUAAAAAAAUGAGCACAUUUAAGCAAAAUUAUUUAAAGAAAACUGUGACCGAUGAUCUUACAGUAUAUUUAUAUGAAAAUCAAACUUCCAAAGAAAGUAGUACAAUGACAAUAUCAUCUUCAAUGACUUUAGAAUCUGCACAAGAAAAUAAAAAAGAACUAGAAAACUUCAGCAGUAUUGCAUCAUUGUGAGUGAGAAAUAAUGAAAUCGUUAUAAAUUUUGUUUUUGUAUAUUUUUUGACAUUACAAAUUCCACGAUUUUACGUAUAUGAAUUGUCUCCUUAAGUUGAAGGAAUAACAUAAACAAUGAUGACGACAAAUUACUUGAUAAUGCUACCAAUGCAAUCAAAUUUAAAUGCUAUAAAGAAGAAGAAGCAUUCUUGGCUAAACCAAAAAUUUCAAGAACGCCUCCUUGCUUACAUUAAUGUGCAUGCGUGCGUAUAACACGACUGAAAAUAUGAACCUAUAAACAAAUGAUAGCGAAUAAUAAAAAUUCAAUUACUUAACAAAAAA